CAACUAUCAGUAAUCUCUCCAAUAAGAAAGAAUACUCUAGUCUCAAAAAUAAAUAAAUUAUGUAAGUGAUAGUAAACAAAUUAUACACUAAACCUAGUAAAAUGAUACAAAAGGAAAAAAAAAUCCAAAGAAAAUUGUGGGAAAAACAACUAGAGGUAACAAAUUCAACCUUCAUUAACCUCUCCUUCCAUCUGAAGCCUUUCUUGCAUGUCUUUGUCCAUAAAUUGCUAAUCUUCACCAUGGUACAUGUCUUCCGAGUAAUAGUUGCAUUCAGCUUUCCCAUCCGUUUCAUACGCAUCCAUGUUCGCAUCUGUAUACUGCAGAAAAACCUGAGGGAUAUUUGUAACAUGAGACAGGCAGGUGACAUUAAAUUAUUCAGUGUGCAUUUACUAAAGAAAAGAAUAGCAUUAUUUUCAAUCGUAUAUCAUAAUCACACCCAAAGGAAAAAGUAAUUCGAACAAAAA
rnacentral:lncRNA from 1 species